UACGGAGGGUGCGAGCGUUACCCGGAUUUACUGGGCGUAAAGGGCGUGUAGGCGGUCUUCUAAGUCCGGGGCUAAAGACCAGGGCUCAACCCUGGGUGUGCCUUGGAUACUGGAAGGCUAGACGGCUGGAGGGGGCAGCGGAAUUUCCGGAGUAGCGGUGAAAUGCGCAGAUACCGGAAGGAACGCCAAUAGCGAAGGCAGCUGCCUGGACAGUACGUGACGCUGAGGCGCGAAAGCGUGGGGAGCAAACCGG
rnacentral:rRNA from 1 species